rnacentral:rRNA from 1 species
CCCUUAGAUGUUCUGGCCGCACGCGCGCUACACUGAUGAAUUCAACGAGCUCCUAACCUAGGCCGAAGGGUCCGGGUAAUCUUUGAAAUUUCAUCGUGAUGGGGAUAGAUUAUUGCAAUUAUUAAUCUUCAACGAGGAAUUCCUAGUAAGCGCGAGUCAUCAGCUCGCGUUGAUUACGUCCCUGCCCUUUGUACACACCGCCCGUCGCUCCUACCGAUUGAAUGGUCCGGUGAAAUGUUCGGACCGCGACAAGGCGGACGGUUCGCUGUCAGCUUUGCUGCGGGAAGUUCAUUAAACCUUAUCAUUUAGAGGAAGGAGAAGUCGUANCA